rnacentral:rRNA from 1 species
UACGAGGGGGGCUAGCGUUGUUCGGAAUUACUGGGCGUAAAGCGUGCGCAGGCGGCCAUCCAAGUCAGUGGUGAAAGCCCGGAGCUCAACUCCGGAAUUGCCAUUGAAACUGUUUGGCUUGAGUACGAGAGAGGUGAGUGGAAUUCCCAGUGUAGAGGUGAAAUUCGUAGAUAUUGGGAAGAACACCGGUGGCGAAGGCGGCUCACUGGCUCGUAACUGACGCUCAUGCACGACAGCGUGGGGAUCAAACAGG